rnacentral:rRNA from 1 species
GACGAACGCUGGCGGCGUGCUUAACACAUACAAGUCGAACGGUGAAGCCCUUCGGGGUGGAUCAGUGGCGAACGGGUGAGUAACACGUGAGCAACCUGCCCCUGGCUCUGGGACAACCACUGGAAACGGUGGCUAAUACCGGAUACGACCCGCCUCGGCAUCGAGUGUGGGUGGAAAGUUUUUCGGCUGGGGAUGGGCUCGCGGCCUAUCAGCUUGUUGGUGAGGUGAAGGCUCACCAAGGCGACGACGGGUAGCCGGCCUGAGAGGGCGACCGGCCACACUGGGACUGAGACACGGCCCAGACUCCUACGGGAGGCAGCAGUGGGGAAUAUUGCACAAUGGGCGAAAGCCUGAUGCAGCGACGCCGCGUGAGGGAUGACGGCCUUCGGGUUGUAAACCUCUUUCAGCUCCGAAGAAGCGAAAGUGACGGUAGGAGCAGAAGAAGCACCGGCUAACUACGUG